rfam:Trichobilharzia regenti genome assembly, scaffold: TRE_scaffold0121933
AUCCAACUGACGAGUCCCAAAUAGGACGAAAUUAGCAUCCUGGAU